UUACGGUCACAUCAUAUUGAAACACCAGUUCCCAUACGAUCACUGAAGUUAAGCAAUGUUGAGUAUGGUCAGUACCUAAAUGGGUGACCACUUGGGAAACCA